GCAAAAAUAGUUGGAGAUUCGAUCAGUUGUUAUACAUUAAUUUCGCUGAACGUUUUUGCGAAUUGCUAGCAUUGUAUAUUUCACAUUAUCUUAUUACAUCUUAUUCCGUCGUGAAACUAGACAGAACAAAAAACAUGAAUUUGAAAAGCUCAAGUGAGUAGGAUACAUGUGUGUAGGAUAUGUCUACAUAAAAAGCUUCGGGGAUGCUGUUACACAUUAUAAAUGGUUGACUUAAAAUCUGCGUGAAGUCAGAAAGAAAAAUGCUUAGGACGACAGUGACUCUUGAGCGAGAGGUUUUUGUACGGCUGGUGGAUGAGUCUGUAUCACUGUGGAACACUUUCGGUGGCGGAACGAAACUGUCAGUUGGACGUGACACAGUUCCCACCCUCACAGUCCUGCCCCCCUCCAGUGUGGAGCUGAAGCAGGGAAAGGCCACACUGGUGUGUCUGGCCAACAAGGGCUUCCCCUCAGACUGGACUCUGCGCUGGAAAGUGGACGGUACCAGUAGGAGCUCGGGCGUGGCCGGGAGUGUGGGGGUCCUGGGGAAGGACGGCCUGUACAGCUGGAGCAGCUCCCUGACUCUCAGUGAUAACGACUGGGUGAAGGCAGGGUCACUGACCUGUGAGGCCACAAAGGGCUCCCUGUCUGCCCCCCCUCAGACACUGAGGAGAGCCCACUGUUCUUAGUAGGCCGGGUGGAGGCCCAGCUCACACACUCUGGUCACACUGUUUUUACCCUGUUCUGCCCUCAGCCUCUCUGCUCCUUACUGCUGUCACACUGAGCUGAGCCUGUGUGUGAAUCCUUCCCCCAGCCUGAGCUUUCAGUGCUAAUA